rnacentral:rRNA from 1 species
UACGUAGGUGACAAGCGUUGUCCGGAUUUACUGGGCGUAAAGAGCGCGCAGGCGGUCGUUCAAGUCGAGUGUGAAAGCCCCCGGCUCAACUGGGGAGGGUCACUCGAUACUGAUCGACUCGAAGGCAGGAGAGGGUAGUGGAAUUCCCGGUGUAGUGGUGAAAUGCGUAGAUAUCGGGAGGAACACCAGUGGCGAAGGCGACUACCUGCCUGUUCUUGACGCUGAGGCGCGAAAGCUAGGGGAGCA